GAUCUUUCUCUGGUGCUCGGGAUUAAACCUAUGGUCAUGUUAGGCAGGCCGUCUCCCGUUGAGCUGUACCUACUUCAAAGAUCUUUUACCUUCGACUUUGCCUCCCUAGAGAGUCUGGAUAUAUUUAGUUAAUUUUGUUGUAAAUUUACUAGUAAUUUACCAAUAAAGAGUAUAUAAACUCAGUUUUUUAUAUCUUUUUUUCUUUUAAAUUUUGUAUAAGCCAUCCAUAGUCAGCCUGCAGCUUUCCAGAAGUUUGUUGCUGUGUUUAGUGUUUGAAAUUCCUCAUUCUGUCUGUUCCGUGCUGCCCCUCCGGCCCCUGCUCCCCAGCUCAGCCUAUGUGUUUGAUCUUUGCCUUGAGAGUUUAGAUUAUGUUGGACUCUAAGAAGUUCCGGAUCCCUGCUCAGUGUUAUGGACUCUUGCUUUCUAAAGUGAUUCCUGUAUACCUGAACGGCCUUUCUGUCCUGACAGUAACGUUUGUUCCUUAGCUUUACCCCAUCCUUACCCAGAGACAGAGGAGUUGCUGUCCUCCCUAUCUGCCUACUUUUUCUGCCACUGGGAUCAUUGGUCAACAUACUAGAUCUUCCUGUGAUUACACCUAGAUCUGAUAGGACACUGUUCUGUUUGAGCAACUCUCAUGUCAUUUUCUCAGCUUUCAUAAUUUUAAACAUUGUGAGGGGCUAUGUGUAUAACUGAGUGAAAUUUAAACAAGGUGGAGGUGGAAAAAUCUCAUCCUGUACAGGAACCAACUGGAAGCCAAAGCCACUCCUGAGUGUAGGCUGCAGAAGUAGAGCAGUGCGUCUGCAGGAUUGUCUCCAGGAGCUAAAGACUGCCUGCCCUCCGUGACUCAGAAAGGCUGAGAGGCGGAGGCAGCAGCACUUCACUCAGGCUGACUCUUCUGCCUUCCUUGUGAUGUCAGCCGAUUCCAAGCCAGUCAGAUCUGCUGGAGCCUAAUCACAUGCAGCCCCAUCUGCUGAGAAACCUCACUGCUCCCAGCUUCACCCGGCACUGAGUAGACCUGUAGAAGCUAACAGCACUAAGACACUCUAGGGACUUGUAAUUCAAGUUUGGGGUCUUGAAACUUCUGUUUUUGAUGUGAUUAUAUUGGGGCUUAAAAAUGCCCUGCAAGUUCGUUGAGAUUUUAUUCUAUAUUAAAUGGAAAGAUGACUACAUAGAAAAGUAGGAGAAAACAUGUCAAACAGUAUGUGUCAUAGUAUCCAAUUUUUUAAAAAUUAUGUUUCAAAAGUAAGGAGGAUAUAUAUGCUUUAAAAGGCUGAAAGAGAAAUGGCAAAUGCUUUGAUUUUCUAUAGGGGUAUUGUGUGUAGAUUGUUUAUACUUCUCGUGCAUGCUUUUAAGAACAGAAAGUGUAUUUUAAGAUGGGGGGGGGCUCUUUUCUAAGUCACAGAGCAUUGCUCCUGCUCAUCCUGCAGCCAGUGCUACUUCAUACACUGGAGUGAUGAAGAAAGCUUUCCUUCUGUACAUACCCCUGGCCAUAUGCACUUUAGCAUCUUAUACUUGUGUACUGUGUCUUCACUCACCCGUUAAUAGUGUGUGCAUGGCUCUGAAGGCUGCAUUUCAAAGAUGGGCCAGUGUGAAAACCACUGAUCACUUCCACUACAAUUCUCAGACUGGAUGAUUAACUCAUACAACCUCAAACACCAAACACAUUGUUUCUGAGGCUGUUCAGGGAGAUUGGUUAUUGCUCAUCAAGUUAUAUAAGCUAAGCUUAAUAGCUGGGUAAGAAAAUUAUUGAGAAAAUUUCCCUUGUUCACAAAAGAGACCACUUAAUUCUUAAAAUCAGUUUCUCAUCUACUCAGAUUACCCCAAUGCCCCUCGUUAGCUCAGCCUAGCACAGUGACAUUGUACUGUCCUGCUCAUUCAUUGGCAUGGAAAUAUUGACAUGGAAAUGAGAGUCGGAUCAUCUUUCUUACUUUCUUUCAGGCUUUGCAUUAUGUGCUGUGAAGACUAGUGGGAGUAGCAGCAAGACAAAUAUAGCAAAGGAGCAGUGCUCUCUCGGGUUAGUAAGUUAAAGGGAAACAACUGAGACAGUGGCCAUCAGUGUAGUAAUGACUGAGCCUCCUUCGUCCAUUGGAUGAGUCAAGUAUUGUGCUAAACACAUCAUAUUAUUGUCUCAUGUAACUUUUCCAAGAAGAAAGUGACAGUAUCAUUUUACAGAUGAAAUUCAGAAACAAAAAGGUUAAAACAAUGUCCAAGCCAUACAGUGGGACUUUGAAUGCAGGUAUGUGAACUUUUAGCUUUCUUCCAUUGACACUUAUAUUCCACUGGCCAGAUGUAGCUCCAGCCACCCAGUGUUAAACUGGAAUGCCCCAUAUAGGGUGCUUCUUAAUAUACUAGAAAUAAAUGAUAGGUUUCAGUUAGGGAGAGGCUCACAAGUGAAGGAAAUACUCUACCUCCUGGUCUCUGUUGGUGAUCCUGUAGGAAAACAAGUCAUAGUUCCUCUACUGGCUUCUGACAAUCAAAGUAACUUCACUGUGUCUCCUGGUUCCACUGUUGACCAACCAAGCACUGAAAUUGUCAGGACUGCUCAGGAAGUUUUCAAGCUCACUACUUGACACCAGUAGAACUGAAGUUUGUUCUCAUAUCUCAGUUUUCCUCUUUGUUUCCUCAUAGCUUUACCUAGUAUAAUAGUGGGUAACUUCCAUGGUUAUUGAAGCAUCAUUUUUAGCUUAUUAAAAGAACUUCAGUUAUUUGCUUGCUGCUGUGUUUUAGACCACAGGGAUUUAUUUUGCUAUAAGAGUGUAUAACAACUAUAUCACCCUUCAGGCUAUAUCUACUUUCUCUACUUAGUGUCUUGUUUUAAAAGAAAAAGCAAAAGGGUAAUAAUCUCUAGUAGUAAAGUCAAAGGUAAGGCUAUGCAGUCAAGCAACUCAGGUCUCCUUACCAGCUGAAUAUAAGCCACUUCAUUUUCUCUGCUCUCGGUUGUUUUGUUUUUCUUGGGUGAAACAAGGAUAGUUGUACCUACCUCAUAGACCUGCUUUGAAAAACACAAUAAAUAUAAUAUUUGUGACAUAAAAUUGUAAAUAAAAACUCUGCUACUUU
rnacentral:lncRNA from 1 species